rnacentral:rRNA from 1 species
CGCGUAGGCGGGAUGGCAAGUCGGUCGUGAAAUCCUUCGGCUCAACCGAAGAACGUCGAUCGAUACUGCUGUUCUUGAGGGUUGCAGAGGAGACUGGAAUUCCCGGUGUAGCGGUGAAAUGUGUAGAGAUCGGGAGGAACACCGGUGGCGAAGGCGGGUCUCUGGGCAACUCCUGACGCUGAGGCGCGAAAGCGUGGGGAGCAAACGGGAUUAGAUACCCCGGUAGUCCACGCUGUAAACGAUGACGACUAGGUGUGGGGGGGUUCAGUCCCUUCCGUGCCGCAGCUAACGCAUUAAGUCGUCCGCCUGGGAGUACGGCCGCAAGGUUGAA